AUUGAACGCUGGCGGCAGGCCUAACACAUGCAAGUCGAGCGGAUGAAGGGAGCUUGCUCCUGGAUUCAGCGGCGGACGGGUGAGUAAUGCCUAGGAAUCUGCCUGGUAGUGGGGGAUAACGUCCGGAAACGGGCGCUAAUAUCGCAUACGUCCAGAGGGAGAAAGUGGGGGAUCUUCGGACCUCACGCUAUCAGAUGAGCCUAGGUCGGAUUAGCUAGUUGGUGGGGUAAAGGCCUACCAAGGCGACGAUCCGUAACUGGUCUGAGAGGAUGAUCAGUCACACUGGAACUGAGACACGGUCCAGACUCCUACGGGAGGCAGCAGUGGGGAAUAUUGGACAAUGGGCGAAAGCCUGAUCCAGCCAUGCCGCGUGUGUGAAGAAGGUCUUCGGAUUGUAAAGCACUUUAAGUUGGGAGGAAGGGCAGUAAGUGAAUACCUUGCUGUUUUGACGUUACCAACAGAAUAAGCACCGGCUAACUUCGUG
rnacentral:rRNA from 1 species